UGGCUGGCCGUCAGCUCCGAUAAACCGUCCAACACGCCGCCUUCGUCACCUGAGGAGGAAGGCGAUGAUUCAAGCAAACAACAUUCUAAUGGUGUCCUGAAGCAGUGAAGGCAGAGACUUUGGCACAAGCAGCCAUCAGUGAAGAGGACUGUGCAAAAGACAAAGUGAGAGUUGUCUCAUCUGUGCCUUGCACACAGGAGAACAUGGCCCGUGUGUGCAAUUAUCCAGGCCGUUCAGAAAGAAACAAGCAAGGGAGUAAACCGAUUUCAACACAUUUCCCGAGAGAUCCUGAAAGUUGCUGCUAAUAGUAGUUGGAAUGGACAUAAAAUACUCCUUUUGCAAAGCUGUGAAAGUGUUACAUGUAUGUGGAGCCCAUUUCCACAGCAGGAGAGGAACUGCAGCGCACGGCUAUGUCAUCACUGGUCCAGCUAACAGCAGCUGACGAGGGGGUCAAGGUCAGUGAAGAGAUGCUGAUUUCUGACAGAAGUGACUGGUUGAGAGGUAGAGGACAACAUGUAUACCCAGCAUCUUGC